AGCAGCGUGUUGUCCUGAGAGAGUGUAGGGCUGCUGCCUCCAAGUUCUCAGAGAAGGUGCACAGCCUGGGGCAACCUACUUUAACUGCAGCCUUCUCGGCUGUGGAGAAGACAGAGCAUUCCUCCCUGCUUCAGAAGAGAGCUGGGCUUAGUAAUUAGUUUGUAUUUCAAAGUGCUUCACAACUGGGAAGUUUCACUAUUGAAUUAAGGAAGUUCCCCUUUCGUCCUCUCCCCACCACGUCAAGAAGAAAGAAACUGUGCUCACUGGAGCUGUAAGAAAAACAGAGGCAAUCCGGGGUUGGGGAGGGGGGCACUGACAAACCUGACUUCAAGGUAGUGGCUCAUUUCUGACAGUAAGAAGACACCCAUUAAAAGGAGCUUUGCAAGUUGAGAGUCUUGAAGGGCACCCAAACCUGCUCCCACAAGACGCACAUUUGUUUUAGACUUAACUUUUAUGAGCUGUUCAAGGAAAAGAAGGAGAGAAAGAAAAUACGGCAGGUUACACCGUUGGUAGGGAAUUUGAAAGAGAGAGCUGGUACACACUGCAUCAUGCUUUCUUACUGGAGAACCGGGUUGGAUCUCAAGUUAUCCCCACCUCUGGACGAAUCUAUGUUCCUUUUUCCAGCGUAUCUCUGCCUGCUUCCAUCCUCACCAUGGUCAUAUGACAAGUCUUCGCCCUGGAGAAUGAACGGAAGUGGAGUUUCUGGGAAGUGGCUUUGCCUGCUCAACUACCCAGGAGGACUGGAAAUGACUCUAAAGAUGUAGAAAGGCCAAGCCCCAAGAGAGAUGUCUGACUCCUCUGUGACUGCAGAGAGAAUGCCUUCUUCAGAUAAGCACAUCUUUGGCCUCUUCUGUGAGAAAUAGUUUCUGUUAAGACGCCGGAAUGCUGGUUUAUUGUCCCAGCCGCUAUUGUUCCCCAAAUUGUAGUUGCCUUUUGCAUGCCAGACCUUUAGGACUCACCGGUAUCCGGUGCCGUGAAUGGUAUGUAAGUAUAAUAUUGAUGCGGGCAUGCAUUUUGUAGGUCUCUCUCUCCUUUUAGUUGCAUAAUUUAGUUUUAUUGGUUUCACAGACUCAUGUGAAAGGAGGAGGGAGGGACGGUAGAACCAAUGUGGACAUAUCUAGUCAUUCACUUAUUUUCUUUCAUGUUUUGGAACUCAGCAAGCACGCUCCCCUCCCCCACUCCCGCCCUCCCAUUAACCAAGGAGGAGGAGAAGAAGAAUAUUGCUACUUUCUUCAUAGACUUCUAAGAGAAUGGAUACAAUGCCUUGAAGGAAGUGCCAGCUAGGGGAAAGCAGUACCUUAGAGUAAGCAAUCCUCAUAUCAUUGCCCAAGAGAGCUGGGCCAUGGCCAAUAUCUCCAUCAGCGACUUGAAAGAGUUGUCUGUCUUCCCAACACAAUAAAACUGGAGACAUGAGCUCCUGCAGCCCCAGCCAACACCAUCAGGGGAAGCCAAAGCUCAUCGUCACAUGCAGGUCUUAGGAUUUAUGGCUGACGGGGGAGGGAAAAUAGAGGCAGAUACUUAAGUUGGCUGAAUUCAUCAGUCACAAAAUUAAUAUAGAGAAUAUUAGAUAUAGAGAAUUGUAGAUAUUCAACUUUUGUCUAAUGAACUUUUCAGCAAUUGAGGAAAACACAGACGCCAACACCUUUUUUUUUUUUUUUGGUUCUUUUUUUUGGAGCUGGGGACCGAACCCAGGGCCUUGCGCUUCCUAGGCAAGCGCUCUACCACUGAGCUAAAUCCCCAACCCAACACCUUUUUUAAAAAGAAAAGAAAAACAACAAAACCUGCCCGUUUUCUCUAGGUUGAGUGGCGAUUCUAUUUUGUCAGUUUCCUGCAUUUGAGAGAGAACUUCUGGCCUGUGGCGACGUGAGGGCAGGUGUGUAUUUGCUGCUGAUAUCUGUUGACCCAGGUAUCUCUCAAUGAGGUUAAAACCAUUCUCUUUCGGGGGACCCUGUGAAGAUGCCACUGGGUGGGGUGCUCCUUCCUCUGCUGAGGUCUCCCCUACCCGGAACAGCACACCGUUGCCUUGUUAUAGCUAUGCUCUAGAACAUCCACCCUAAUACCAAGGGAGAGCCAUACUGCUUCCGGCCCGGAACUCAAAACACCGUGUGACGGAGUCACGAUUUCAAGUGAUGAAAAUUCGUCACCCUGUUUGUGACACCAGUUCCAUGAAAGGCAAUGAAAACUCAAGUUAGUGUGGUUUGGGUCUAACGUUGCAAAGUUGAAAUUAUCCGCCUGCAUGUUAGUGAAGCCACUGGCUUUUGACUGUUUAAAGAUUGUGUUUUAUGUUAGGACUGUUGUGCUUGCACACGUAUGUGUGCCACUAGUAUGCAAUGCCUGAAGAGACCAGAAGGGGGCGUCAGAUCCUCUGGAACUAGAGAUACAGGGCGUUGUACCCUGUGGAUGCUGAAAUCCAAACCUAGACCUCCCGGAAGAGCAGCUAGUGCUCUUAACCACUGUGCCAUCUCUCCAGCCCAAAAGUCCCUGUUGGGCUGUUCAUUAGAAUCAAGUUUCCAGCCUUUAGCAUCUACAGGGUGAAAAGACCAUUUGACAGGGCAAGGUAGGACUACGUGAUCCUCCAAAGUCAAGACUCAUCUUAAUUCUGAUGAUGCUUGGGCCAGCUCCCCAAAUCCUGAGGAUGUGAGUUUGUUUCCAGACUGCCGAAAACAGACCCAUUUUAUGAUGUUUAUCUUUCCACAGUGAAGUGUACCUUAGGAAGGUGUGUGUGUGUGUGUGUGUGUGUGUGUGUGUGUGUGUGUGUGUGUUUCCUACAUUUUUUUAAUGAUUUGGGUUUUUGAAUAAAAUAACAUUCACGUUUUCUUUCCUCUC